rnacentral:rRNA from 1 species
AGCGAACGCUGGCGGCAUGCCUAACACAUGCAAGUCGCACGGGUCGGCUUCGGCCGGUCAGUGGCGGACGGGUGAGGAACGCGUAGGGAUCUGUCCGCUGGUGGGGGAUAACCGCGGGAAACUGCGGCUAAGACCGCAUGGGGCGCCGGUGUGAGAGCCGGUGUCAAAGGCGCGCAUCGCGAGGUGUGUGUCGCCGGGGGGUGAGCCUGCGUCCGAUUAGCUGGUUGGCGGGGGAAGGGCCUACCAAGGCGUCGAGCGGUAGCCGGUCUGAGAGGGUGGUCGGCCACACUGGAACUGCGACACGGUGCAGACUCCUACGGUAGGCAGCAGUAGGGAAUGUUGCGCAAUGGGCGGAGGCGUGACGGAGCAACGCCGCGUGGGUGGUGAAGGGCUUCGGAUCGGAAAGCUCUGUUAUUAGGGAAGAACAUAUGUGUAAGUAACUGUGCGCAUCUUGACGGUACCUAAUCAGAAAGCCACGGCUAACUACGUG